ensembl:lncRNA
AAAAAACGCAACAAAAACCAGAGAUGCGAUCAGUUUGUGCAGCGAAAAGAAGGCAAACACGCGGUGAUGCCGUACGUCUGGCGGGUGCUCUCCCAUAGGUCCCUGAGCGGCCCAUCCCGUGUCUGCAGCCCAAAGGCUUUUCCCGAGGGCUGGGAUCAGGCGCGCUCUCCAGCUCCCCAAACGGAGGCUGUAGGUUGGCCCUCUCUCCAGGUCUGCCCUCCUCUGUUAUCCGUGCACCCAUCAGCUCCUGGGAGUCACUUUGAUGAAGGAAUCAGAGGAAAAUUGGAAAAUACCUUCAGCUUGAGGCCUGAGUCAAGUGCUGUUAUUAAUAGCGUGUUUAAUUACGAGUGGCAUCUAAAUCAGGUGAGUCUGGGAAGGUAAGAUGAAGGGGGAAAAUUGCCGUAAGAGCCUCUGAUUAGCGAGUAAAACACAAUUAGCUGUUCUCAAAGAGCAGCAAAGCCCACACCUGAUGACCACCACCUGCAGCCCGGGCUGUGUGUCCUGCAGGUCUCCAUCCUCGUGGAGGUCCCAUAGCGGUGUGCAUGAGGUGUGGCAGCUUUUUGGGUGCCCUGGUGCAGGGCUGGGUGUCCCUGGGGCAGCUCCUUCCCUUUGCUGCAGGGAGGCACAGCAGCCAAACCUGGGCUGUGUGUUGGGUUAGAACAGCUGCAGUGCACACGCUCCAAUCUCUUGAGCAGAGUUGGUCUGUGCACCAAAUCCUUCCUAAGCCUCUUUCUUAGCAGGUGCCUGAAUUUCAGAGGUAUAAGGUGAGAUGCUGUGGGUCGGGAUCUCGCUUCUUUCAGAUACUGGUAUUAUUACUACUUUAUCUAAUUGGAGCUCUGAAGUGAAAAAUACUCCUUCUUCUCUGACUUCGAGGUCUCAAUGAACAAUUUUUUCUGUUACAGUUCUCUGUUUCUGUGUAAUUUUAGCAUCAUACCAGGACAGGGAGCGUAACUUCAGGGAGCUGCUUUGACACACACUGCUCUGCCAUGGGGUUAACAGCAGACCCAGUGUACCAUAUCCCUGAUGGCAGCGUGCUCACUUGGCAGCAGCAAUCAGCUCCAUCCCAGCAGCUCCCAGCUAUCCCUGCUCCUCACAUCCACUGCCAAUGAGACUUCUGCUUUGCUCAGUGCAAGCAACAACUCCUUGUCUGUCAGUGGAUGAUGCUUUUCUGCAGUUAUUUCUAGGGUCCCGUGCUGCACGGUGGCUGCCUGGCAGUGGGAGUGGGAGAGCAGACAGAGAGGUGUGGGACAGAGACCCACAGUCAGCUGAACAUCCUUUUCUGCCCAUGCAGGAAUCAAAGCUUUUAGUGUUAUUCAAAGUCAGCAUCACACACAGAAGAAAUAGUUGGCUGCUGCAAUCAGCAGUGAUGAACAAUCAUUAUGAGGUGCAAAAGGAGCAUUGUUAAUAGGAGGCUACAUCUCCAGGUCAGUUUGACUGCACGAUUUUAUGAGCUUAAAGACCUACACACCUCAACUUCAAGAAUUAUUUACUCCCAAGAUAUUUACCUCUUCCACUUCUUUCUGAAAAUCAUAAUAAUAGCAGUAACUCUGUUCUGCAUUCCAGGCAUAAGCUGAAGAACAGGAGGAAAAGCAAAGCAAGAGAUUCCCAUGUUGAGACCAUGGAGCGCAGGAAGCUGCAGUGCUGUGCAGCCAUCUGAACUCAGAGUGAUGUUUGACCUCAGAUGAUGAACAGCAGCUUUGCCUUCUUGCUGUGCAAUGCCAGAUCACCAGAAAAGACCUUAGCUAAUACUUGUAAUGAUAUCGUGGCUCAGAUUGGGUGUACGAGCAUGUUGUAUGCUGCUUAACAGCAGAAGGUGAUGGGAUUCGAUGGAGAUGCAUAUAUGUAUUUCCUAACCUUCAGCAGGAACAGCAAAGAACUCUUGUUCCAAGAAGGAAUUCAGAAUAUCUCCUCCGCGUUCUACCUCUGCAUGCUGAGACAGAGUGAGAACUGCAGUCAUGGAGUGAGAAGACUCACAGAAGAGCUCCUACUAUUCAGUGGGAAUAACCAGAGCCAGGUGAGCACGGAUUCUGUGGCACAUAUUGAAUGCCUGGAGACCAACAACAGAGCUCCUGGAAUGGAAUUCCUCCAUUCCAGGCGGUCCACUGCAACAAAUAAUGGACUCAACAAAAAGAACAGCUAUAAGAAUAAAGGAGAAAGAGUGAUUUGUAUUUGGAGGAAUUAUGAGUGUGACUUCAUUCAGAACCAGCCCAGCACACGUGUAGAACUCCCUAAGUGCAGUUCAGAGCAUUGCGUCCUCUGAUCAGGUAGGAACUAAUUUGCUAAGUGCAAAAGUUGGAAAAUUUUGUAGCUGUUUAACAGCAAAUCACAGAUCUGUCCUCAUUUAUUUUUCCUGACACAUUUAUUAUUGAAAGAUGGUUUGGUGAGUGCCAUAAGUAAGCAGGCGGUGUUGUUCCUGAGCCCUGAGAUUUGUCACUUCGGCUACAUCUUUCUGAUCUGUGACGGAGUGUUUUCUGCAGGAGAACAGGAAUGCUAAAUAAGGCAUCAAUAAUGCAAGAGAUCCGUGAAUAAUCACCCGAGUGCUUGAAAACGAGUGGACAG